GCGGUGGAUGAUGUGGAUUAAUUCGAUGCAACGCGAAAACCUUACCUACCCUUGACAUGUCCGGAAUCCCGAAGAGAUUUGGGAGUGCUCGCAAGAGAGCCGGAACACAGGUGCUGCAUGGCUGUCGUCAGCUCGUGUCGUGAGAUGUUGGGUUAAGUCCCGCAACGAGCGCAACCCUUGUCAUUAGUUGCCAUCAUUUGGUUGGGCACUCUAAUGAGACUGCCGGUGACAAACCGGAGGAAGUGGGGAUGACGUCAAGUCCUCAUGGCCCUUAUGGGUAGGGCUUCACACGUCAUACAAUGGUCGGUACAGAGGGUUGCCAAGCCGCGAGGUGGAGCCAAUCCCAGAAAGCCGAUCGUAGUCCGGAUUGUUCUCUGCAACUCGAGAGCAUGAAGUCGGAAUCGCUAGUAAUCGCAGGUCAGCAUACUGCGGUGAAUACGUUCCCGGGUCUU
rnacentral:rRNA from 1 species